rnacentral:rRNA from 1 species
UAGGGAAUCUUCCGCAAUGGGCGAAAGCCUGACGGAGCAACGCCGCGUGAGUGAUGAAGGUCUUCGGAUCGUAAAACUCUGUUAUUAGGGAAGAACAAAUGUGUAAGUAACUAUGCACGUCUUGACGGUACCUAAUCAGAAAGCCACGGCUAACUACGUGCCAGCAGCCGCGGUAAUACGUAGGUGGCAAGCGUUAUCCGGAAUUAUUGGGCGUAAAACGCGCGUAGGCGGUUUUUUAAGUCUGAUGUGAAAGCCCACGGCUCAACCGUGGAGGGUCAUUGGAAACUGGAAAACUUGAGUGCAGAAGAGGAAAGUGGAAUUCCAUGUGUAGCGGUGAAAUGCGCAGAGAUAUGGAGGAACACCAGUGGCGAAGGCGACUUUCUGGUCUGUAACUGACGCUGAUGUGCGAAGGCGUGGGGAUCAAACAGG